UUACUCCCGAGUCAUAUAAAAGAUUAGUUCAUUUUGAACGAAUCGUUCACGAACGAUACAACACUAGCGAAUUCCCCAAAUGUGGGAAUCUCGAUUGCAUAAUUUCUGGUAGUGGGGGACUGCGUUCGCGCUCUCCCCUG
rnacentral:snRNA from 1 species